rnacentral:rRNA from 1 species
UACGUAGGUCCCGAGCGUUGUCCGGAUUUAUUGGGCGUAAAGCGAGCGCAGGCGGUUAGAUAAGUCUGAAGUUAAAGGCAGUGGCUCAACCAUUGUAGGCUUUGGAAACUGUUUAACUUGAGUGCAGAAGGGGAGAGUGGAAUUCCAUGUGUAGCGGUGAAAUGCGUAGAUAUAUGGAGGAACACCAGUGGCGAAAGCGGCUCUCUGGUCUGUAACUGACGCUGAGGCUCGAAAGCGUGGGGAGCGAACAGGAUUAGAUACCCGGGUA